rnacentral:rRNA from 1 species
GGAUGAGCGGCGUUUAAUCGCGUCGCUCCGCACUCCCGGGGCGUCUCGUUGUCAUUGCGACAUGAGGCGCACCUAGAGCGUACACGUUGGGACCCGAAAGAUGGUGAACUAUGCCUGGUCAGGAUGAAGUCAGGGGAAACUCUGAUGGAGGUCCGUAGCGAUUCUGACGUGCAAAUCGAUCGUCGGAACUGGGUAU